CAAAAAGAUCAUCAAGCAAGAAAGCAAUUGGAUUCAAAUGUCGCCAGGGGAGGAUGGAGACUAAGCCUUUUCUGCAUCAACAUGGAGAUUUCACAGCCAUGUGAAGCUGGGAAUACACUUUUAACCUUCCAUUUUCCUUCUCAUAACUUCUGAACUUCUAUGCAGCCUGCUGAUAAAGCACUGUGUGAAAGAAGCAAGGCAACAGCAUCUCUUCUGGCUGCUCCUAAAGUGUCCAGCAAAGCACCCAG